AGAAAUUUUAAGUUGAGAAAAAUAUGUAUUGUAAUAUGUAUAUAUUAAUAAAUUGAAAAACAUAUUGAAUCAAUGCAUUGAUGUUCACAUUAGUAUAAAUUAUGACAUACAAUUCUAUGAGACGGAAGAUGAAUCUAUAUGUUGUUUGAGAGAAUAAACCAAAUGCAUCUGCUAUUGUCCUUCUACACUACUCGUUAAAUUAACAGUGUGUUUGUGAAGUCAUGAUGAUCUCUAUGUCAGGCUGUCAGGCUGUGGAGUCACAGAGGAAGGCUGUGCUUCUCUGGUCUCAGCUCUGAGGUCAAACCCCUCACACCUGAGAGAGCUGGAUCUGAGUAACAAUGACCUGAAGGAUUCAGGAGUGAAACUGCUCUCUGAUGGACUGGGGAAUCCCCACUGUAAACUGGAGACUCUGAGGCUGUCAGGCUGUCUAGUCACAGAGGAAGGCUGUGCUUCUCUGGUCUCAGCUCUGAGGUCAAACGCCUCACACCUAAGAGAGCUCGACCUGAGCUACAAUCACCCAGGAGACUCAGGAGUCAGACUGCUCUCUGCUGGACUGGAGGAUCCACACUGCAGACUGGAGAAACUCAAUGUGGAACAUGGUGGAGAGUACACAAUGAAACCUGGGCUUAG